rnacentral:rRNA from 3 species
GUGCGAGACCGAUAGCGAACAAGUACCGUGAGGGAAAGAUGAAAAGAACUUUGAAAAGAGAGUUAAAGAGUACCUGAAACUGCUGAAAGGGAAGCGAAUCGUAUCCAGUGUCUAUAAUCUGCGGCAUAUUUCAUUGGCGGCAGUGUGCGUGCUUUUGCGUCGGAAGCGGCUUUUGUUGCUCUGUGCUUUUGCUGUGCGUGCUGUUGCUGGUGCCCUGUGUUGCGGUGGGACGUCAGAGUCAGUUCGUAUGCUGCGGGAAAUGGCCGCCGAGGAGGUAGGUCAGGACUUCGGUCUUGGCUGUUAUAUCUUGGUGGUUUGUUGUCGUGGUUGGGACUGAGGUGCCUACAAUGUGCUUUUGAGUGUGCCGGGUUCUCAUUUGGUGGACUGUUUGGAUAGCUUGCUAUGCUUGUGGUUUUUUCAUCGAGUGAUUGAGUCUGGUGGUAACUUGUUGCUGUUCGGGACUUUGAA